ACUAAAUAGAUACCCGGGUAGCCCACGCCGUAAACGAUGGAUACUAGCUGUUCGGAGCAAUCUGAGUGGCUAAAGCGAAAAGUGAUAAGUAUCCCACCUGGGGAGUACGCACGCAAGUGUGAAACUCAAAGGAAUUGACGGGGGCCCGCACAAGCGGUGGAGCAUGUGGUUUAAUUCGAUGAUACGCGAGGAACCUUACCAGGGCUUAAAUGUAGAUUGACAGGACUGGAAACAGUUUUUUCUUCGGACAAUUUACAAGGUGCUGCAUGGUUGUCGUCAGCUCGUGCCGUGAGGUGUCAGGUUAAGUCCUAUAACGAGCGCAACCCCUGUCGUUAGUUGCCAGCGAGUCAUGUCGGGAACUCUAACGAGACUGCCAGCGUAAACUGUGAGGAAGGUGGGGAUGACGUCAAAUCAUCACGGCCCUUACGUCCUGGGCCACACACGUGCUACAAUGGUAGGUACAGAGAGCAGCCACUGCGCGAGCAGGAGCGAAUCUACAAAACCUAUCUCAGUUCGG
rnacentral:rRNA from 1 species